CCUGCUCAGAUUGAACGCUGGCGGCAGGCUUAACACAUGCAAGUCGAGCGGUAGCACAGGGGAGCUUGCUCCCUGGGUGACGAGCGGCGGACGGGUGAGUAAUGUCUGGGAAACUGCCUGAUGGAGGGGGAUAACUACUGGAAACGGUAGCUAAUACCGCAUAACGUCGCAAGACCAAAGAGGGGGACCUUCGGGCCUCUUGCCAUCAGAUGUGCCCAGAUGGGAUUAGCUAGUAGGUGGGGUAAUGGCUCACCUAGGCGACGAUCCCUAGCUGGUCUGAGAGGAUGACCAGCCACACUGGAACUGAGACACGGUCCAGACUCCUACGGGAGGCAGCAGUGGGGAAUAUUGCACAAUGGGCGCAAGCCUGAUGCAGCCAUGCCGCGUGUGUGAAGAAGGCCUUCGGGUUGUAAAGCACUUUCAGCGAGGGAGGAAGGUGGUGAACUUAAUACGUUCAUCAAUUGACGUUACUCGCAGAAGAAGCACCGGCUAACUCCGUGCCAGCAGCCGCGGUAAUACGGAAGGGUGCAAGCGUUAAUCGGAAUUACUGGGCGUAAAGCGCACGCAGGCGGUUUGUUAAGUCAGAUGUGAAAUCCCCGGGCUCAACCCUGGGAACUGCAUUUGAAACUGGCAAGCUAGAGUCUCGUAGAGGGGGGUAGAAUUCCAGGUGUAGCGGUGAAAUGCGUAGAGAUCUGGAGGAAUACCGGGUGGGAAGGGCGGCCCCCUGGACGAAGACUGACGCUCAGGUGCGAAAGCGUGGGGAGCAAACAGGAUUAGAUACCCUGGUAGUCCACGCUGUAAACGAUGUCGAUUUGGAGGUUGUGCCCUUGAGGCGUGGCUUCCGGAGCUAACGCGUAAAUCGACCGCUGGGAGACGCCGCCC
rnacentral:rRNA from 1 species